AGCUCCUUGGGCACAGACGGGCGACAAAGGCUCAGAAGCCUCGCACUGGCCAAGCCGUCCCAUGCCUCUGUCUGUGCUCUCCGCUGCCCUUCUUGCUGGGGACGCUGUAGGCGGGUAGCUGCUUUCUCCUGUACCGAAGGAGCUUUCGCAGCCUUUCCUCAGCUCUCCGCCUAAACCGCAGUGCCCGGCCUACUCUGCAGCGCAUGCAGAGCCCAAACCGCUCUACCCGUAGGAUCCCAACACUCGCAGCUCGGUGCAACCGAGAGUGACGCCGGCGCAGGGCGCAGCCCCAGGGCGGAGCUGGCGGCGGCGGAGGGGAAGAAGCGCCGAGUGCCGAGCUGAGCAGGGACUGGCAGUGCAGCGCGGAGCGGGCGGCGGAGCGGCGGGAUGCGGCAGUGCCGGGCCGCGGGGCUGGCCGCAGUGCUCCUGGCAUUCGCUGCGUGCAGAGCCCUGGUGCAGCAGGAGCCUUCGGUAGAGACCAGAGAGGGCACCGGCAUCAACAUCACCUGCUCACACCCCACCGUACAAGCCGUCCACUGGUAUCGACAGCUCCCGGGCCGAGGCCCCGCAAUCCUCGUCAGCGCUGUUACAGGCUCCAAGGAGGUUCCGGACCCGAUGGGGCGGCUGUCGGUGUCGGCAGACCGCCGCUCCAGCGCCCUGUGGCUCACCCGACCACGGCUCGGGGACGUGGCGGUGUAUUACUGCGCCGUGGACCCACGGGAAGCUAAGCUGGGGCUGCGGCCGGGCACGAACCGCAUUGGGCGUGGCGGGGGCACAGUGCCGUCCAUGCCCGCAGGGGGCGAUGCAGCACCUCCGGCUGGAGCCUCCCGAGCUGACAUUGCUGACAUGGAACAUGUCCCCCGCACUGCUCAGCGUUCUCAGGUGUAAGGACUUCCAGCUUCGCACCUUCAUGAAUACGGCAUGUCGAGGUCGCAGACACACUCAAGCGGUCCCCACAGUGGCUAUUCUUUAAAACCACCAGAUGGUGCGACAGGAUUCAGGGCCUCUGCAGGUGAGGUGUAGAUUCAGUAGAAGCCACUGCAAGGUGCGCUGGUUGUGAGGUCUACUGGUUCAUGCUGGCUGUGGAUCAAGUCUCUUCUCAGUUCCAAGGGAAGUACAAUUAAAAGGGACAGUGAUAAUGCAUAGAGUAACCCCAAAAUAUAAGCAUAAGGGAGACAAGGAGGGAGACCAGUACUCCUCAGCACCUAACUGUUGCCGUUAGGGAGCCACUGCUGUUAGAUAAGAGGUGAGGGACUGAGCUUUGUGAGUGACAAGUGACAAGAUGAAAAGAAAGAUGAGGAAUGCUCUUGAGGGACUUGUGGGGCUAUUCAAACAUAUUAAGGAAUGUUUAGGGAAAUGUCAAAGGUGUC